GACGAACGCUGGCGGCGUGCUUAACACAUGCAAGCCGAGCGAUGAAGUUUCUUCGGAAAUGGAUUAGCGGCGAACGGGUGAGGAACACGUGAAGAAUCUGCCCUCCACUUUGGGAUAACACCGGGAAACCGGUGCUAAUACCGAAUAUUGAAACAUAAGUGGCAUCACUGAGUUUUGAAAGAAUUUCGGUGGAGGAUGACUUCGCGGCCUAUCAGCUAGUUGGUGAGGUAAUGGCUCACCAAGGCAACGACGGGUAGCCGGCCUGAGAGGGCGACCGGCCACACUGGGACUGGGACACGGCCCAGACUCCUACGGGAGGCAGCAGUGGGGAAUAUUGGGCAAUGGAGGAAACUCUGACCCAGCGACGCCGCGUGCGGGAUGAAGGCCUUCGGGUUGUAAACCGCUUUCAGUAGGGAAGAAGCGAAAGUGACGGUACCUACAAAAGAAGCACCGGCUAACUAUGUGCCAGCAGCCGCCGUAA
rnacentral:rRNA from 1 species